rnacentral:rRNA from 1 species
GACGAACGCUGGCGGCGUGCUUAACACAUGCAAGUCGAACGGAAAGGCCCUGCUUUUGUGGGGUGCUCGAGUGGCGAACGGGUGAGUAACACGUGAGUAACCUGCCCUUGACUUUGGGAUAACUUCAGGAAACUGGGGCUAAUACCGGAUAGGAGCUCCUGCUGCAUGGUGGGGGUUGGAAAGUUUCGGCGGUUGGGGAUGGACUCGCGGCUUAUCAGCUUGUUGGUGGGGUAGUGGCUUACCAAGGCUUUGACGGGUAGCCGGCCUGAGAGGGUGACCGGCCACAUUGGGACUGAGAUACGGCCCAGACUCCUACGGGAGGCAGCAGUGGGGAAUAUUGCACAAUGGGCGGAAGCCUGAUGCAGCAACGCCGCGUGCGGGAUGACGGCCCUCGGGUUGUAAACCGCUUUCGCCUGUGACGAAGCGUGAGUGACGGUAAUGGGUAAAGAAGCACCGGCUAACUACGUGCCAGCAGCCGCGGUGAUACGUAGGGUGCGAGCGUUGUCCGGAUUUAUUGGGCGUAAAGGGCUCGUAGGUGGUUGAUCGCGUCGGAAGUGUAAUCUUGGGGCUUAACCCUGAGCGUGCUUUCGAUACGGGUUGACUUGAGGAAGGUAGGGGAGAAUGGAAUUCCUGGUAGAGCGGUGGAAUGCGCAGAUAUCAGGAGGAACACCAGUGGCGAAGGCGGUUCUCUGGGCCUUUCCUGACGCUGAGGAGCGAAAGCGUGGGGAGCGAACAGGCUUAGAUACCCUGGUAGUCCACGCUGUAAACGGUGGGUACUAGGUGUGGGGUCCAUUCCACGGGUUCCGUGCCGUAGCUAACGCUUUAAGUACCCCGCCUGGGGAGUACGGCCGCAAGGCUAAAACUCAAAGGAAUUGACGGGGCCCCGCACAAGCGGCGGAGCAUGCGGAUUAAUUCGAUGCAACGCGUAGAACCUUACCUGGGUUUGACAUGGAUCGGGAGUGCUCAGAGAUGGGUGUGCCUCUUUUGGGGUCGGUUCACAGGUGGUGCAUGGCUGUCGUCAGCUCGUGUCGUGAGAUGUUGGGUUAAGUCCCGCAACGAGCGCAACCCUUGUUCACUGUUGCCAGCACGUUAUGGUGGGGACUCAGUGGAGACCGCCGGGGUCAACUCGGAGGAAGGUGGGGAUGACGUCAAGUCAUCAUGCCCCUUAUGUCCAGGGCUUCACGCAUGCUACAAUGGCUGGUACAGAGAGUGGCGAGCCUGUGAGGGUGAGCGAAUCUCGGAAAGCCGGUCUCAGUUCGGAUUGGGGUCUGCAACUCGACCUCAUGAAGUCGGAGUCGCUAGUAAUCGCAGAUCAGCAACGCUGCGGUGAAUACGUUCCCGGG